rnacentral:rRNA from 1 species
CGAUAACGAACGAGACCUUAACCUGCUAAAUAGCCCGUAUUGCUUUGGCAGUACGCUGGCUUCUUAGAGGGACUAUCGGCUCAAGCCGAUGGAAGUUUGAGGCAAUAACAGGUCUGUGAUGCCCUUAGAUGUUCUGGGCCGCACGCGCGCUACACUGACAGAGCCAGCGAGUUCUCCCUUGGCCGAAAGGUCCGGGUAAUCUUGUUAAACUCUGUCGUGCUGGGGAUAGGGCAUUGCAAUC